rnacentral:rRNA from 1 species
UCGGCUCAUCACAUCCUGGGGCUGAAGUAGGUCCCAAGGGUAUGGCUGUUCGCCAUUUAAAGUGGUACGCGAGCUGGGUUUAGAACGUCGUGAGACAGUUCGGUCCCUAUCUGCCGUGGGCGUUGGAUGAUUGAUUGGGGCUGCUCCUAGUACGAGAGGACCGGAGUGGACGCAUCACUGGUGUUCCGGUUGUGUCGCCAGACGCAUUGCCGGGUAGCUAAAUGCGGAAGAGAUAAGUGCUGAAAGCAUCUAAGCACGAAACUUGCCAAGAGAUGAGUCAUCCCUGACUUUAAGUCAGUAAGGGUUGUUGUAGACUACGACGUAGAUAGGUCUAGUGUGUAAGUGUAGUGAUACAUUGAGCUAACAGAUACUAAUUGCCCGAGAGGCUUAACUAUACAACGCUCAAG